rnacentral:rRNA from 1 species
AGUGAACGCUGGCGGUAGGCCUAACACAUGCAAGUCGAACGGCAGCACAGAGGAGCUUGCUCCUUGGGUGGCGAGUGGCAGACGGGUGAGGAAUACAUCGGAAUCUACUCUGUCGUGGGGGAUAACGUAGGGAAACUUACGCUAAUACCGCAUACGACCUACGGGUGAAAGCAGGGGAUCUUCGGACCUUGCGCGAUUGAAUGAGCCGAUGUCGGAUUAGCUAGUUGGCGGGGUAAAGGCCCACCAAGGCGACGAUCCGUAGCUGGUCUGAGAGGAUGAUCAGCCACACUGGAACUGAGACACGGACCAGACGCCUACGGGGGGCAGCAGUGGGGAAUGUUGGACAAUGGGCGCAAGCCUGAUUCAGCCAUACCGCGUGGGUGAAGAAGGCCUUCGGGUUGUAAAGCCCUUUUGUUGGGCAAGAAAUCCAUCUGGUUAAUACCCGGGUGGGAUGACGGUACCCAAAGAAUAAGCACCGGCUAACUUCGUGCCAGCCGCCGCCGUAA